rnacentral:rRNA from 1 species
AUUGAACGCUGGCGGCAUGCCUUACACAUGCAAGUCGAACGGCAGCACGGGUGCUUGCACCUGGUGGCGAGUGGCGAACGGGUGAGUAAUACAUCGGAACGUACCUUAUCGUGGGGGAUAACGCAGCGAAAGCUGUGCUAAUACCGCAUACGCCCUGAGGGGGAAAGCGGGGGAUCGCAAGACCUCGCGCGAUUAGAGCGGCCGAUGCCUGAUGAGCUUGUUGGUGGGGUAAAAGCCCACCAAGGCGACGAUCAGUAGCUGGUCUGAGAGGACGAUCAGCCACACUGGGACUGAGACACGGCCCAGACUCCUACGGGAGGUAGCAGUGGGGAAUUUUGGACAAUGGGGGCAACCCUGAUCCAGCAAUGCCGCGUGAGUGAAGAAGGCCUUCGGGUUGUAAAGCUCUUUUGUCAGGGAAGAAACACCGGCUCUAACACAGUCCGGGAAUGACGGUACCUGAAGAAUAAGCACCGGCUAACUACGUGCCAGCAGCCGCUGUAA